GGCUCAGGAUGAACGCUAGCGGCAGGCUUAACACAUGCAAGUCGAGGGGCAUCGGGAGUAGCAAUACUGCCGGCGACCGGCGCAAGGGUGCGUAACGCGUGAGCAACAUGCCCGUAUCAGGGGGAUAAUCCAUGGAAACGUGGUCUAAUACCCCAUAGUAAUUAUGUAAGGCAUCUUAUAUAAUUUAAAGCUUUGGUGGAUACGGAUUGGCUCGCGUGACAUUAGCUGGAUGGUAAGGUAACGGCUUACCAUGGCUACGAUGUCUAGGGGUUCUGAGAGGAAGGUCCCCCACACUGGAACUGAGACACGGUCCAGACUCCUACGGGAGGCAGCAGUGAGGAAUAUUGGACAAUGGAUGGAAAUCUGAUCCAGCCAUGCCGCGUGCAAGGAAGACGGCCCUAUGGGUUGUAAACUGCUUUUGUAUGGGAGCAAUAAGGGCUACGUGUAGUCCGAUGAGAGUACCAUACGAAUAAGCACCGGCUAACUCCGUGCCAGCCGCCGC
rnacentral:rRNA from 1 species